UUAGAAGUUUAGGUUAAAAAGACCAAGGGCCUUCAAAGCCCUAAGUAAGUGCCACUCACUUAACUCCUGA
rnacentral:tRNA from 1 species